rnacentral:rRNA from 1 species
GGGUCCGGACACACUGAGGAUUGACAGAUAUACGCUCAUUGCAGUUCGCUGCAUGAGCUGAAAGAUGCUAGUUCUUUCAUGAUUAUGUGAUAGGUGGUGCAUGGCCGUUCUUAGUUCGUGGAGUGAUCUGACUGCUUAAUUGCGUAUCAAUAAUAGAGACCUAGUAUACGCGUGGAUUUCGCGUGGUAGUGACCCCCUGUUUAACGACAGGCGUGUGUCGCACACGCGUACCCACGCACUGGUCUCAGAUAGCAACGAACGUGACCGUAUUCUAUUGUUGCAGUGAAAUGUGCCUUCGGGUACGACCCACUGCUUAGUAUAUGUACGUGCUUCGGCGCGAACAAUAUACAUUAAACUAUAGAGACCGCUGUUUCUUCUUUAAACCAGAGGAAGGAUACGGCAAUAACAGGUCUGUGAUGCCCUCAGAUGUUCCGGGCUGCACACGUGCUACAAUGAUCAUUGCACUGUGCAUCUAACCCAAUGUGCGUGGACGCCGCAUGCAUGUGCUCUUCGGGGUACACGCAUUGCUGUUGCGACCACGCCGAACCUACUUCGAAAGUAAAAUUUCUCAGUGGGU